rnacentral:rRNA from 1 species
GAUGAACGCUGGCGGCGUGCCUAAUACAUGCAAGUCGAGCGAACAGACGAGGAGCUUGCUCCUUUGACGUUAGCGGCGGACGGGUGAGUAACACGUGGGUAACCUACCUAUAAGACUGGGAUAACUUCGGGAAACCGGAGCUAAUACCGGAUAAUAUUUCGAACCGCAUGGUUCGAUAGUGAAAGAUGGCUUUGCUAUCACUUAUAGAUGGACCUGCGCCGUAUUAGCUAGUUGGUAAGGUAACGGCUUACCAAGGCAACGAUACGUAGCCGACCUGAGAGGGUGAUCGGCCACACUGGAACUGAGACACGGUCCAGACUCCUACGGGAGGCAGCAGUAGGGAAUCUUCCGCAAUGGGCGAAAGCCUGACGGAGCAACGCCGCGUGAGUGAUGAAGGUCUUCGGAUCGUAAAACUCUGUUAUUAGGGAAGAACAAACGUGUAAGUAACUGUGCACGUCUUGACGGUACCUAAUCAGAAAGCCACGGCUAACUACGUGCCAGCAGCCGCGGUAAUACGUAGGUGGCAAGCGUUAUCCGGAAUUAUUGGGCGUAAAGCGCGCGUAGGCGGUUUUUUAAGUCUGAUGUGAAAGCCCACGGCUCAACCGUGGAGGGUCAUUGGAAACUGGAAAACUUGAGUGCAGAAGAGGAAAGUGGAAUUCCAUGUGUAGCGGUGAAAUGCGCAGAGAUAUGGAGGAACACCAGUGGCGAAGGCGACUUUCUGGUCUGUAACUGACGCUGAUGUGCGAAAGCGUGGGGAUCAAACAGGAUUAGAUACCCUGGUAGUCCACGCCGUAAACGAUGAGUGCUAAGUGUUAGGGGGUUUCCGCCCCUUAGUGCUGCAGCUAACGCAUUAAGCACUCCGCCUGGGGAGUACGACCGCAAGGUUGAAACUCAAAGGAAUUGACGGGGACCCGCACAAGCGGUGGAGCACGUGGUUUAAUUCGAAGCAACGCGAAGAACCUUACCAAAUCUUGACAUCCUUUGACCCUUCUAGAGAUAGAAGUUUCCCCUUCGGGGGACAAAGUGACAGGUGGUGCAUGGUUGUCGUCAGCUCGUGUCGUGAGAUGUUGGGUUAAGUCCCGCAACGAGCGCAACCCUUAAGCUUAGUUGCCAUCAUUAAGUUGGGCACUCUAAGUUGACUGCCGGUGACAAACCGGAGGAAGGUGGGGAUGACGUCAAAUCAUCAUGCCCCUUAUGAUUUGGGCUACACACGUGCUACAAUGGACAAUACAAAGGGCAGCGAAACCGCGAGGUCAAGCAAAUCCCAUAAAGUUGUUCUCAGUUCGGAUUGUAGUCUGCAACUCGACUACAUGAAGCUGGAAUCGCUAGUAAUCGUAGAUCAGCAUGCUACGGUGAAUACGUUCCCGGGUCU